rnacentral:rRNA from 1 species
UACGUAGGGUGCAAGCGUUAAUCGGAAUUACUGGGCGUAAAGCGUGCGCAGGCGGUUAUGUAAGACAGAUGUGAAAUCCCCGGGCUCAACCUGGGAACUGCAUUUGUGACUGCAUAGCUAGAGUACGGUAGGAGGGGGAUGGAAUUCCGCGUGUAGCAGUGAAAUGCGUAGAUAUGCGGAGGAACACCGAUGGCGAAGGCAAUCCCCUGGACCUGUACUGACGCUCAUGCACGAAAGCGUGGGGAGCAAACAGG